rnacentral:rRNA from 1 species
CUGCUGCCUCCCGUAGGAGUCUGGCCGUGUCUCAGUCCCAAUGUGGCCGUCCGCCCUCUCAGGCCGGCUACUGAUCGUCGCCUUGGUGGGCCGUUACCCCGCCAACUGGCUAAUCAGACGCGGAUCCAUCGUAUACCGCCGGAGCCUUUCACACUGUCCCAUGCGGGACCGUGCGCUUAUGCGGUAUUAGCACCUGUUUCCAGGUGUUAUCCCCCUGUAUACGGCAGGUUAUCCACGCGUUACUCACCCGUCCGCCA